CAGUCGCCACGGUAAUACGAAGGGGGCUAGCGUUGCUCGGAAUUACUGGGCGUAAAGGGCGCGUAGGCGGCGCUCCAAGUUAGGCGUGAAAUUCCCGGGCUCAACCUGGGGACUGCGCUUAAGACUGGAGUGCUUGAGGAUGGAAGAGGGUUGUGGAAUUCCCAGUGUAGAGGUGAAAUUCGUAGAUAUUGGGAAGAACACCGGUGGCGAAGGCGGCAACCUGGGCCAACACUGACACUGAGGCACGAAAGCGUGGGGAGCAAACAGGAUUAGAUACCCCUGUAGUCCCUGUCUCUUAUAC
rnacentral:rRNA from 1 species